rnacentral:rRNA from 1 species
UACGAAGGGGGCUAGCGUUACUCGGAAUGACUGGGCGUAAAGGGCGCGUAGGCGGUUUGCUUAGUUAGGCGUGAAAUUCCUGGGCUCAACCUGGGGGCUGCGCUUAAUACAGGCAGACUAGAGUGUGAAAGAGGGUCGUGGAAUUUCCAGUGUAGAGGUGAAAUUCGUAGAUAUUGGAAAGAACACCGGUGGCGAAGGCGGCGACCUGGUUCAUUACUGACGUUGAGGCGCGAAAGCGUGGGGAGCAAACAGG